GACGAACCGUCCAAACGUUAUUCGGAAUCACUGGGCUUACAGAGUUCGUAGGCGGUCUGGAAAGUUGGGUGUGAAAUCCCUCGGCUCAACCGAGGAACUGCGCUCAAAACUACCCGACUCGAGGGAGAUAGAGGAAAGCGGAACUGAUGGUGGAGCGGUGAAAUGCGUUGAUAUCAUCAGGAACACCGGUGGCGAAGGCGGCUUUCUGGGUCUUACCUGACGCGUGGAGGAACGAAAAGCCCAGGGGAGG
rnacentral:rRNA from 1 species